rnacentral:rRNA from 1 species
UACGUAGGUGGCAAGCGUUGUUCGGAAUUAUUGGGCGUAAAGGGCGCGUAGGCGGUUUGUUAAGUCUGAUGUGAAAGCCCUGGGCUCAACCUGGGAAUUGCAUUGGAUACUGGCAGGCUAGAGUGCGGUAGAGGAUGGCGGAAUUCCCGGUGUAGCAGUGAAAUGCGUAGAGAUCGGGAGGAACAUCUGUGGCGAAGGCGGCCAUCUGGACCAGCACUGACACUGAGGCACGAAAGCGUGGGGAGCAAACAGG